AGAGUUUGAUCCUGGCUCAGGAUGAACGCUGGCGGCGUGCCUAAUACAUGCAAGUCGAACGCACAGCGAAAGGCGCUUGCACCUUUCAAGUGAGUGGCGAACGGGUGAGUAACACGUGGAUAACCUACCUCAAGGUUGGGGAUAACAUUUGGAAACAGAUGCUAAUACCGAAUAAAACUUCGUAUCGCAUGAUACAAGGUUAAAAGGCGCUACGGCGUCACCUAGAGAUGGAUCCGCGGUGCAUUAGUUAGUUGGUGGGGUAAAGGCCUACCAAGACAAUGAUGCAUAGCCGAGUUGAGAGACUGAUCGGCCACAUUGGGACUGAGACACGGCCCAAACUCCUACGGGAGGCUGCAGUAGAGAAUCUUCCACAAUGGGCGAAAGCCUGAUGGAGCAACGCCGCGUGUGUGAUGAAGGCUUUCGGGUCGUAAAGCACUGUUGUAUGGGAAGAACAGCUAGAGUAGGGAAUGACUUUAGUUUGACGGUACCAUACCAGAAAGGGACGGCUAAAUACGUGCCAGCAGCCGCGGUAAUACGUAUGUCCCGAGCGUUAUCCGGAUUUAUUGGGCGUAAAGCGAGCGCAGACGGUUGAUUAAGUCUGAUGUGAAAGCCCGGAGCUCAACUCCGGAAAGGCAUUGGAAACUGGUCAACUUGAGUGCAGUAGAGGUAAGUGGAACUCCAUGUGUAGCGGUGGAAUGCGUAGAUAUAUGGAAGAACACCAGCGGCGAAGGCGGCUUACUGGACUGUAACUGACGUUGAGGCUCGAAAGUGUGGGUAGCAAACAGGAUUAGAUACCCUGGUAGUCCACACCGUAAACGAUGAAAACUAGGUGUUAAGAGGUUUCCGCC
rnacentral:rRNA from 1 species